rnacentral:rRNA from 1 species
CAGUCGACGCUUCUUUUUCCCCGGAGCUUGCUCCACCGGAAAAAGAGGAGUGGCGAACGGGUGAGUAACACGUGGGUAACCUGCCCAUCAGAAGGGGAUAACACUUGGAAACAGGUGCUAAUACCGUAUAACAAUCGAAACCGCAUGGUUUUGAUUUGAAAGGCGCUUUCGGGUGUCGCUGAUGGAUGGACCCGCGGUGCAUUAGCUAGUUGGUGAGGUAACGGCUCACCAAGGCGACGAUGCAUAGCCGACCUGAGAGGGUGAUCGGCCACAUUGGGACUGAGACACGGCCCAAACUCCUACGGGAGGCAGCAGUAGGGAAUCUUCGGCAAUGGACGAAAGUCUGACCGAGCAACGCCGCGUGAGUGAAGAAGGUUUUCGGAUCGUAAAACUCUGUUGUUAGAGAAGAACAAGGAUGAGAGUAACUGUUCAUCCCUUGACGGUAUCUAACCAGAAAGCCACGGCUAACUACGUGCCAGCAGCCGCGGUAAUACGUAGGUGGCAAGCGUUGUCCGGAUUUAUUGGGCGUAAAGCGAGCGCAGGCGGUUUCUUAAGUCUGAUGUGAAAGCCCCCGGCUCAACCGGGGAGGGUCAUUGGAAACUGGGAGACUUGAGCGCAGAAGAGGAGAGUGGAAUUCCAUGUGUAGCGGUGAAAUGCGUAGAUAUAUGGAGGAACACCAGUGGCGAAGGCGGCUCUCUGGUCUGUAACUGACGCUGAGGCUCGAAAGCGU